UCGGAAGUGAACAUUAAAAUAUAGUUACGUAAAAGUUUGUUUUCGUUUAAAAUAAUUCUGUGUGGAUGUGAGUAGUGCAAAUUCUGUGAUAUUCGAUCGGGUGCAUUUGGAACCUUGUGACUUUUAACUUUAUGGUCAAGGUCAUAUCUAUGUUGUGUAUUGUUACAAAGGGUUCAACGUUAUAUAAGCAAGAUAUCAGAAUGAAUCGAGAACUAACAGGAACAUAUAGAAAUGAAUGCAAUGUCGGCCAAAAUUUUUGUGUUAUCCCCACCUCGGCGUAGGAUUAGCGCCCGUCCUGCAUGGACACUCAAUGCCAUAAGAAUCGCUGUCUUCAUCAUGACCAACUUAACAUUGCAG